CCUACGGGAGGCAGCAGUAGGGAAUCUUUCACAAUGGGCGAAAGCCUGAAGGAGCAACGCCGCGUGCAGGAUGAAGGCCUUCGGAUUGUAAACUGCUUUUGUAAGCGAGAAUAAUGAUGGUAUCUAACGAAUAAGCACCGGCUAACUCCGUGCCAGCAGCCGCGGUCAUACGGAGGGUGCGAGCAUUAUCCGGAGUCACUGGGUGUAAAGAGUGCGAUGGCGGGUUAUCAAGUUAGAUGUGAAAUCCUGUGGUUUAACCAUAAAACUGUUUUUGAAACUGUUAUUCUAGAGAACGUGAGAGGGAGGUGGAAUUCUUGGUGUAGGAGUAAAAUCCGUAGAGAUUAAGAGGAAUACUCAUUGCGAAGGC
rnacentral:rRNA from 1 species